rnacentral:rRNA from 1 species
UACGAAGGGGGCUAGCGUUGCUCGGAAUCACUGGGCGUAAAGCGCACGUAGGCGGAUUGCUAAGUCAGGGGUGAAAUCCCGGAGCUCAACUCCGGAACUGCCUUUGAUACUGGCGAUCUUGAGUCCGGGAGAGGUGAGUGGAACUGCGAGUGUAGAGGUGAAAUUCGUAGAUAUUCGCAAGAACACCAGUGGCGAAGGCGGCUCACUGGCCCGGUACUGACGCUGAGGUGCGAAAGCGUGGGGGAGCAAACAGG